rnacentral:rRNA from 1 species
GAUGAACGCUGACAGAAUGCUUAACACAUGCAAGUCAACUUGAACUUCGGUUUGGGUGGCGGACGGGUGAGUCACGCGUAAAGAACUUGCCUCACAGCUAGGGACAACAUUUGGAAACGAAUGCUAAUACCUGAUAUUAUUAUUAUAUGUCAUCGUAUAAUUAUGAAAGCUAUAUGCGCUGUGAGAGAGCUUUGCGUCCCAUUAGCUAGUUGGAGAGGUAACAGCUCACCAAGGCGAUGAUGGGUAGCCGGCCUGAGAGGGUGAUCGGCCACAAGGGGACUGAGACACGGCCCUUACUCCGACGGGAGGCAGCAGGGGGGAAUAUUGGACAAUGGACCGAGAGUCUGAUACAGCAAUUCUGUGUGCACGAUGAAGUUUUUCGGAAUGUAAAGUGCUUUCAGUUGGGAAGAAAAAAAUGACGGUAACAACAGAAGAAGCGACGGCUAAAUACGUG